rnacentral:snoRNA from 1 species
AUCUGUCAGUGACGAGACCACAGAACUCGCGCCAGGCGUGGCGCCCGAUAGUAAUGAGGAAAUCUUCCAUGCUGCCUUCCGUCUGAGACGAAG